UACGUAGGGGGCAAGCGUUGUCCGGAUUUAUUGGGCGUAAAGAGCGUGUAGGCGGCCAUACAGGUCAGCUGUGAAAACUCGAGGCUCAACCUCGAGACGUCGGUUGAAACCGUACGGCUAGAGUCCGGAAGAGGAGAGCGGAAUUCCCGGUGUAGCGGUGAAAUGCGCAGAUAUCGGGAAGAACACCCGUUGCGAAGGCGGCUCUCUGGAACGGUACUGACGCUGAGACGCGAAAGCGUGGGGAGCGAACAGG
rnacentral:rRNA from 1 species